UACGUAGGUGGCAAGCGUUGUCCGGAUUUACUGGGCGUAAAGCGAACGCAGGCGGGUUGUUAAGUAGGAAGUGAAAGGUUGGAGCUCAACUCUGACACUGCUCCCUAUACUGGCAAUCUUGAGUUCUGGAGAGGAAAGCGGAACGACACGUGUAGCGGUGAAAUGCGUUGAUAUGUGUCGGAACACCGAUGGCGAAAGCAGCUUUCUGGACAGCAACUGACGCUGAGGUUCGAAAGCCAAGGGAGCGAACAGG
rnacentral:rRNA from 1 species